rnacentral:rRNA from 1 species
GACGAACCGUCCAAACGUUGUUCGGAAUCACUGGGCUUAAAGGGCGCGUAGGCGGGCUGCCAAGUCGGUGGUGAAAUCGUCCGGCCCAACCGGACAAGUGCCGCCGAUACUGGCAGCCUCGAGGGAGGUAGGGGUCGAGGGAACUUCCGGUGGAGCGGUGAAAUGCGUAGAUAUCGGAAGGAACGCCGGUGGCGAAAGCGCUCGACUGGACCUCUUCUGACGCUGAGGCGCGAAAGCCAGGGGAGCAAACGGG